CCCCCCUUAGUGGGAGAGUUGCCACUGGAUCCCAUAAGAACUCCGAAGUUAAGCGUGCUCGGGUGGGAGCAGUCCUUGGAUGGGGUGACCUCCUUGGGAAUGUGCCUGAGAAUGUG
rnacentral:rRNA from 1 species